CUGAAGGGAAAAAAAGUUUUUUCUUUUAAUGUGAGAAUCCAAACACCGCGUUUACUGGUGUAAAUCGGCGCUUGCUUUAAAAGAAAACUCAGCCGAUGUUCGUCCAGUUCGUUUUCUACUUUUGCAUUUUCCAGAAAAGAUCAUGGGCUAAGCAGCUUGGCUCUUCCCGAGCCGUGUUAUAUAUACAAACGUCAAGGUUGCCAGCAUGCCGAAAGUGGGAGAUGCGGAAAGAGGGCGAGUUACUCGUCUUUCGAGGCUCUUCGUGUAGGCUGACCCUGGAGCCGGAGCCCUGGCAUCAAAAUCGACCGGGCGGCAAAGAAACGUAGCGCGUCGGAAUUUAACCACCCACCCCACCCCCAUCAAUCGUUUGUGGAGAUUGGGCUUGGAUUCAAAUCGUGGCCUUUUUGUCAAGGGCGAGCUUGAGUUUGUACAAAUCGAAGGUUGUGGUGGGGUAAAAUGGGACGGAUCGGCCGAGCGAAAGCAGAAGGGACCGGCCUUGCUAGCGCGGGCUGCGUGUGCGUGACUGACUGGAGGAAGCGCGAUUCGCAGGCGGGGAGUGAGAAGUGUCCCAGAGGGGGCACUCCUAAAGCCGCGCCAAAACCGAGAAGAGCCGCAAGCCCUCUUUCCCUUCGAAGCGAAGCGCGUGGAAGGAAGGCCGAACUGGCUGGGCGGACACUUAAGGGAGAGAGUUGCCUUGCUGGGGAGAGCGGUUCGGUUCCUCCGACUCUCGCUCGCUCUGGGUUUCCCCGUUAAAAUGUUUCCGAGAUCCGUGGAGAAUAGAGCGGGGCUGAGGCGAACGCGAAGAAUGUCAGCAUUUGUCCAGAUCUCAACAUUGCAGAUGGAUCCAUUUUAUAUGGAAUUGUUCAUAUUUUCUAUUUAGAACGUCAGCAUUUGUCCAGAUCUCAACAUUGCAGAUGGAUCCAUUUUACGCAUCUUCUUGAAGGGACUCAAAAGAACGUUGUGGAGAAUAACAGCUGAUUCUGAAACCACUCCCUUGCUUAAAACUCCUUUGUGACUCUGUUGACAAAAUUGCUAUAGCUAUGACUUAUAAUAAAUAAAAACUAGUAUCAUCCUGCAGUUUAAUUCUCAGUAUAAGCAAGAAUAGGCCUUGAAACUUGGUGACCUUUUGUCUUAAGCUGGAAAAUAUAAUAAGAGAGCUUUCCAGAGAAAAAUCUAUUUUUUAAAUGGCAAUGGCAAACUAUAUAGUACAAUGCAUGUAGGUACAUUAGAGACUGGAUAACAUGCUAGAUUCAAAUUUGUUUGGACUGACUGUACAGUGAUAGCAGCACUAUAUUUCAUGUAAAAGAAAAGCAGUAAAUAAAUAUUUUAUAUCUUAAAUAUUUUUUCUUCUCCUUUCUCCUCCUCUGCCUAGAUCUAUUAUAAUUUUGAAAAAUCUACUUUAACUACCAUAUGUUGGAAACAUUUUGCUCAAAUUAAAAAUCCAUUGCAUUAAUAUCUUAGCAGCCAGUGAAGAAAUAAGGCUGUUUUCCUUGCCAAAAGUCAAAAGGUUAUCAUUCAGUGGAAGAAUGCCAGCAGUGUUGUGGAAUAGAAAUAUGGAGAACAAAGCUUCCUCACCUUUUUCUGAGCAGGAAUAAUGAACAUCAGUUGCCAGAGAAUCCCCAAGUACAUAGAAGAUGCAUAUCCUGUGUUUUAUUAAAUAGUUUAGUCUGAGAUAGUGUGCUUCAUGAAUGAAUAAAGAUAUGGACCUGUGCCUUCCAUGCACAUAUAUCAACCACUGAAUUUAGCAGGUUCUGUUUAAGGAUGUGACUAUGGACUUUAUCUCAAGUUUUGAAGUUCUCAUAAUGACUUCAUUCACAUGAUGGGUUUUUGUGAUACAUUACUGGCAUGGAAAAGGCCAGGUUAAUUUGAGGUAUAGCUGAGAAACAUUUUGGUAAUCUGGAGAGCUCUUGGUAGAAUAUAGAUAAUAUUAACUAUAGAUGGACUAAUGGUCUGAUUUAAUAUACAAUAUAUUUUCAAAUAGACAUAAUGUGGAGUCCUUUUGCCACUUGAUUCCAGAAGCCAUCUAAGUAUGUGAAAGAUUUAAGGAAAUCAAAAGUCUGAAGUCCAGGAAAAAGAGGCUCAGGGUCAGAGUCCAGACAAACUGGGAAAACAAACACUUGCUGCUGAUCUGUGUUUCUUAUUCUAUGAAUAAAGAGAACUUUAGUCUCUGGGGGAACAAAUAAAUAUGGUGUUGCCUAAUGCCCAUGACAUGUUUAUUGUCAAAUUAAAACAAAUAAUUUUAUCUUUGGCCUAUUUUAAAUGAAUUAGAAUGCAACUGAAAUAAUAGCUGGCUCUCCUAAAGCUCAUUAAUUAAAUGAAAGUGUAACUAAUUGUUAUAUGUUUGUUUCAUGUAGACUGAAAGGUAGAAUCACAACAGACAUAAUUAGAGUAAUUAUUACAGUCUGCAUUUAAUUCUGAACCCCCAGGGAAUAUUGAAUUUUCAUUCAUGGAAACCAUAUUCCUUUCUAUAAGAAAUACAGCAUCUCCCACUUAACAGAUAUGUUUUUCAUAAUGCCACCUCAGGUGAGAUCAUCCCAUUCUAUUCUUUGUCACAACAGGAUUGUUAUUCAGAAUGACAGCAGUCAAAAGAUAAAUGCUAACAUGCAUGUUCUAGUUUUGCAUUUCUCAUCUCAAAAUAUAUGUGGCAUAUAUAACAAGAUAUUCUAUGCCUGAAAAUUUUUAAAUAUUCUGAAAGAGAACUGAUAUGAAUUCACUUUGUCCUCAGUGUUCACUGGUACUUAAAGUUCAGAUUGUUUUCUCAAUAAAUAAAUGAAUAAGUAUAAUAGUUUUGACUUAUUUGUUUAGUUGGGUUCUGUUUAUCUUGUUUAUCUAGAACACUCUGAUGAAACUGUCAUUGUUUUAAAAAGUUGGAAGUUCCAGUGGUUUAAACUUAUUAGCAUAUUAUCAAAAAGAAAACUAACCUUUCUAAUGAAUGAAUACUUUUUGUUUAAUAAACUGUAGCACUUUCUUCUUCUAUUGAGGUCUCAAAACCUAAAUAUUUUGUAAGUGUAAUUAAUUAACAGA